AUUGAACGCUGGCGGCAUGCCUUACACAUGCAAGUCGAACGGUAACAGGUUAAGCUGACGAGUGGCGAACGGGUGAGUAAUGUAUCGGAACGUGCCCAGUCGUGGGGGAUAACUACUCGAAAGAGUGGCUAAUACCGCAUACGACCUGAGGGUGAAAGCGGGGGACCGUAAGGCCUCGCGCGACUGGAGCGGCCGAUAUCAGAUUAGCUAGUUGGUGGGGUAAAGGCCCACCAAGGCGACGAUCUGUAGCUGGUCUGAGAGGACGACCAGCCACACUGGGACUGAGACACGGCCCAGACUCCUACGGGAGGCAGCAGUGGGGAAUUUUGGACAAUGGACGCAAGUCUGAUCCAGCCAUGCCGCGUGCGGGAAGAAGGCCUUCGGGUUGUAAACCGCUUUUGUCAGGGAAGAAACGAGUUUCUCUAAUACAGAGACUUAAUGACGGUACCUGAAGAAUAAGCACCGGCUAACUACGUGCCAGCAGCCGCAGUAACAC
rnacentral:rRNA from 1 species